rnacentral:lncRNA from 1 species
AGGGAUGCUAUGGGUUCGGUUAUUGCUUGGCCUCGCUCACAUGUAAGUAUGUUUUCAUUCAAGCAUUGUCUACGCUCCAAUCUGCACAUGUGUGAUAUGUUAUUUAUCCAAAAUCUUUUUGUUUUUUAGGUAAAAAUAGUUAAGCCAACUCCUCCAGCACAACCACAAAGCAUUGGUAUGAUACAUUUCUUAUAAUUUCAUCAAAGAUCUCUUAUCUUGCAGUUCUCUAUAAACAUAUGUUCAUGUAAAUGGUGUUCAUUCUCCUUUUCAGGGCAGUGAGGAUUUGAAAAGUGAGUGCAUUAAAGGAGCUAGGAGUGGCUGGGUAGUUGAGGAUUUGAAAAGGGAGUGCACUGGAGGAGUCAGGAGCAGUUGAUGAAUCUAUCUUUGAAUGAACAAAUAUUCUGGAUUAUGUACAUAUUUUAGCUUCAUAGAGAAAAAUAGUUCUUGUCUAUAGGAUAUUUUCUUAUUUAUUUUCAUCAUUGCAUGUUUCAUAUGAAUGUUUGAUAUUAUUCAGCUGUGAACUCCACGUACUUUUAGUGGAGACAUUGUUCGUGCUAAUUAAUGCAUUUGAUGUUGUUACUGAGGUUGCCAAUGUUUGCAUAU